AUCAGACACACUGGAACUGAGACACGGUCCAGACUCCUACGGGAGGCAGCAGUGAGGAAUAUUGCACAAUGGAGGAAACUCUGAUGCAGCAACGCCGCGUGGAGGAUGACGCAUUUCGGUGUGUAAACUCCUUUUAUUAGGGAAGAUAAUGACGGUACCUAAUGAAUAAGCACCGGCUAACUCCGUGCCAGCAGCCGCGGUAAUACGGAGGGUGCAAGCGUUACUCGGAAUCACUGGGCGUAAAGGGUGCGUAGGCUGGCUUUUAAGUCAGAUGUGAAAUCCAAUGGCUCAACCAUUGAACUGCAUUUGAAACUGAAAGCCUAGAGUUCAGAAGGGGCAGAUGGAAUUAGUGGUGUAGGGGUAAAAUCCGUAGGUAUCACUAGGAAUAUCAAAAGCC
rnacentral:rRNA from 1 species